CUACGGGCGGCAGCAGUGAGGAAUAUUGCACAAUGGGGGGAACCCUGAUGCGGCAACGCCGCGUGGAGGAUGACGCAUUUCGGUGUGUAAACUCCUUUUAUAUGUCAAGAAAAUGACGGUAGCAUAUGAAUAAGCACUGGCUAACUCCGUGCCAGCAGCCGCGGUAAUACGGAGGGUGCAAGCGUUACUCGGAAUCACUGGGCGUAAAGGACGCGUAGGCGGGUUGGAAAGUCAGGUGUGAAAUCCUACAGCUUAACUGUAGAACUGCACUUGAAACUUCUAAUCUAGAGUAUGGGAGGGGGAGAUGGAAUUAGUGGUGUAGGGGUAAAAUCCGUAGAUAUCACUAGGAAUACCUAAAGCGAAGGCGAUCUCCUGGAACAUUACUGACGCUAAGGCGUGAAAGCGUGGGGAGCAAACAGGAUUAGAUACCCUAGUAGUC
rnacentral:rRNA from 1 species